UACGAAGGGGGCUAGCGUUGCUCGGAAUUACUGGGCGUAAAGGGCGCGUAGGCGGCACUGUUAGUCAGGCGUGAAAGUCCUGGGCUCAACCUGGGAACUGCGCUUGAUACGGCAGAGCUAGAGGAUGGAAGAGGCUCGCGGAAUUCCCAGUGUAGAGGUGAAAUUCGUAGAUAUUGGGAAGAACACCAGUGGCGAAGGCGGCUCACUGGCCCAUAACUGACGCUGAGGCACGAAAGCGUGGGGAGCAAACAGGG
rnacentral:rRNA from 1 species